AUCACUGCUUCCCCUUUCUAUUUUCCAUCAAGCUGUUGAAAAGUUAAUCUCAUCACAUUGUAAUAAAAACCUGAUGAGCCUGACGAUGAUCUUCUUGCGAAACUGCUGUCUUAAAAUCAAGAUUAUCUUCUGCUGGCGCGCUCUGACGAUGAUGAGCUAGAGGAUCGGAUCGGAGAAUCAAAACCCUGAUGAGCAUGCACAUGCACAUGCACCUCGAUCGAUGCAUCGCAGAUCAUGCCAUCGUCCCUUGUCCAUGAUCUAUCUCCAUGGACAAUGCAUUAAAAAAUUUGAUGAGCCUGACGUACGAUUGCAUGCAUGUCGGACCAGAAUCUCGGUUUUCAUAUAUUGCGUGCCCUGACCAUGCGCGGUUGUUUUGCUCGGAUUCCUUUCUGCGCCCUUGAUUUGGCUGCAGAGCAUGCACCUCGAUCGAUGAGGUGAGUUGGAUUAAUUUGCUGAUAUAUGUUGGACGGACGCGCGGACGCAGAUGAUGCAGCAUACCCAUCCCUUGUCCUCGGCCAUAAAGAGUCACAACCAAUUGAAAAAAAUAUAUUAUCCUCUUUUGAUCCAAUCAAGCUAGCCAAAUCUACUAUAAAAAUAUAAUAAUUAAAGAUCAUAUUAGAGAAGAUGGCAAUAUUGCUCUAGGGUAGAGCUAAACCAUGCCAAAUACCCCUCGAUAAGAAUUAAAGAGUCUUAGGUAAUAAUAAUAUCUACUAUUCAUCUGCAGACCAUUGUUUUAAUUUUAGCUACACCAUUCAGUUAGAUGGUUUAAUUGGAUCUAAUGAUCAUCGACCAUUUAGCAGGGGACGGGACUAC
rnacentral:lncRNA from 7 species